rnacentral:rRNA from 1 species
AUGUCAAUUGCCGCGGCUGUCACCGGAACCGCCACCGCGGCGGUGCAUGCGCCCGUGCACCACGCGCCGCACCACGCCUCUACGCAGCGCACGGCGCCGCGGCGCGAGCAGUCGCCGCUCAACCCGAGCUCGCAGGCGCUGCGCGCCGCUGGGUCCGGGGCCUCGCCCGCCGCGGAUGGCGUGAGGACGCACAUCGCCAACCUUGACCGCGUGCUCGGGAAGCCGCCGAGGACGCCGAGCCAGGCGGGGCCGCCCAGCAGCAAGCAGGAGCAGGAGAGCGAGCAGGAGCCGCUUAACAUCAGGCACGGCCUGCUCAACGCGCUCAACCUCUCCUUCUUCGUGCCCAUGCCCGGGAUGCGGGCGCGCAUGGCCGCGGACGAGCACAUGUCGCCGCGCAGCCUCAUGCACAUGCAGCAGCUCCUCUCGGCCGACUCCCCGCGCGCGUCCCCGAGGAGCACCAUCGGCCCCCGGUGGCGCGCCCUCCACGGGGAGGGCGGGUGGGCUGGACUCCUCGACCCGCUCGACUCCGACCUCCGCCGAGAGCUCCUCCGCUACGGCGACUUCGUGCAGGCGGCCUACCAGGCCUUCCACUCGCUGCCCACCGCGGCGGCGAGGCACCGUGGCCUCAUGCUCCCGGACCGCUCCUACCGCCCCACGCGCAGCCUCUUCGCCACCUCCGCGCUCUCCAUGCCGCCGUGGGCCAAGCGCCCCAACACCCCCGAGUGGCUCACGCAGCAGUCCAACUGGAUCGGCUACGUCGCCGUGUGCGAGUCCGAGCGGGAGGUCGCCCGCAUGGGCCGCCGGGACAUCGCCAUCGUGCUGCGCGGGACGGCCACCUGCCUCGAGUGGGCCGAGAACCUGCGCGCCUCGCUCGUGCCCCUCGACGGCGAGACCGGCGAGGGCAAGCAAGCCGGACCGGAGGAUCCCAAGGUGGCUCGCGGAUUCCGGAGCCUCUACAAGACGGCCGGGGAAAAGGUGAAGAGCCUCUCGGAGGACGUCAUGGACGAGGUGAGACGCCUCAUGGAGAAGUACAAGGGCGAGGAGCUGAGCAUCACGAUCGUCGGGCACAGCCUCGGCGGCGCGCUGGCGCUCCUGGUGGCCGACGAGAUCGCCACCACCGUCCCCGAUGCCCCGCCGGUCGCCGUGGUCUCCUUCGGCGGCCCGAAGGUGGGCAACGCCGCGUUCGUGGACAAGCUCAAGCAGAGCGGCAAGGUCAACGUCCUCCGCAUCGUUAACGCGGGCGACAUGGUCACCAAGGUGCCCGGCGUGGCGCCGCGGCUGCCGCUGAGCAAGGAGCAGUACCAGCACGUGGGCGCGGAGCUGCGCAUCGACAGCAAGAACUCGCCGUGCCUGCGCCCCGACGUGGGCCCGGCGAGCCGGCACGACCUGGAGGCGUACCUGCACCUCAUCGACGGGUUCACCGCGACGGGGCACCCGUUCCGGUACGACGCGCGGCGCAGCGUGAUACGGCUGCUGCAGCUGCAGAAGGGGAACGUGAAGAAGGAGUACGUGAACCGCGCCCGGGAGCUCGGCGUCGACCCCGCCGCGCCGGCGGACGUCGGCCGGAGCAUGGCGUACGGCAACUGCGCCGUGGCGAGCCCGUCAUGA